GACGAACGCUGGCGGCGUGCUUAACACAUGCAAGUCGAACGGAAAGGCCCUGCUUUUGUGGGGUGCUCGAGUGGCGAACGGGUGAGUAACACGUGAGUAACCUGCCCUUGACUUUGGGAUAACUUCAGGAAACUGGGGCUAAUACCGGAUAGGAGCUCCUGCUGCAUGGUGGGGGUUGGAAAGUUUCGGCGGUUGGGGAUGGACUCGCGGCUUAUCAGCUUGUUGGUGGGGUAGUGGCUUACCAAGGCUUUGACGGGUAGCCGGCCUGAGAGGGUGACCGGCAACAUUGGGACUGAGAUACGGCCCAGACUGCUACGGGAGGCAGCAGUGGGGAAUAUUGCAAAAUGGGCGGAAGCCUGAUGCAGCAACGCAGCGUGCGGGAUGACGGCCUUCGGGUUGUAAACCGCGUUCGCCUGUGACGAAGCGUGAGUGACGGUAAUGGGUAAAGAAGCACCGGCUAACUACGUG
rnacentral:rRNA from 1 species